rnacentral:rRNA from 1 species
UACGUAGGAGGCGAGCGUUGUCCGGAUUUACUGGGCGUAAAGAGCGCGCAGGCGGCAUGUCAAGUAAGGUGUGAAAUCUCCCUGCUCAACGGGGAGGGUGCAUUUUAGACUGGCAAGCUAGAGGACGGUAGAGGGGGGUAGAAUUGCUGGUGUAGCGGUGAAAUGCGUAGAGAUCAGCAGGAAUACCCGUGGCGAAAGCGGCCCCCUGGGCCGAACCUGACGCUGAGGCGCGAAGGCUAGGGGAGCGAACGGG